rnacentral:rRNA from 1 species
GGGCUCAACCCGUGAUCUGCUUUUAAUACUGUCGGUCUUGAGUAUUGGGAGAGGGAGAUGGAAUUCCAGGUGUAACGGUGGAAUGCGUAGAUAUCUGGAAGAACACCAGUUGCGAAGGCGGUAUCAUGGACCAAUACUGACGCUGAUGCUCGAAAGCUGGGGGAGCGAACAGGAUUAGAUACCCUGGUAGUCCCAGCCGUAAACGAUGGACACUAGUUGCCGGAGGAGUCAAUCCCUUCGGUGACGAAGCUAACGCAUUAAGUGUCCCGCCUGGGGAGUACGCUCGCAAGGGUGAAACUCAAAGGAAUUGACGGGGGCACGCACAAGCGGUGGAGCAUGUGCUUUAAUUCGAUGCAACGCGAAGAACCUUACAUGGGUUUGACAUGGGGGUGAAAGUUUCCAGAGAUGGAAGCCUUUCCUUCGGGAACACCCCACACAGGUGCUGCAUGGUUGUCGUCAGCUCGUGUCGUGAGAUGUUGGGUUAAGUCCCGCAACGAGCGCAACCCCUGCCUUUAGUUGCCAUCAGGUUAAGCUGGGAACUCUAAGGGGACAGCUUGGUAUAACCAGGAGGAAGCUGGGGAUGACGUCAAAUCAUCAUGGCUAUUACGCCCAGGGCUAGACACGUGCUACAAUGGCAGGUACAGUGGGAUGCCAGCGUGCGAAGGUGAGAUAAUCCCGUAAACAGUGUCUCAGUCCGGAUUGGAGUCUGCAACUCGAGUCCAUGAAGAUUGGAAUCGGCUAGUAAUCCGCGGAUCAGCAUGCCUCGGUGAUACGUUCCCGGGCAUUGUACACACCGCCUGUCAAGCCAUGAAAGGCGGUAGUACCACGAAGUCGCGUACCCA